rnacentral:rRNA from 1 species
GACGAACCGAGCGAACGUUGUUCGGAAUCACUGGGCUUAAAGGGCGCGUAGGCGGGUGCUCAAGUCCGGGGUGAAAUCCCACAGCUCAACUGUGGAACUGCCUCGGAUACUGGGUGUCUCGAGGGUGGCAGGGGUAUGCGGAACUAUCGGUGGAGCGGUGAAAUGCGUUGAUAUCGAUAGGAACUCCGGUGGCGAAAGCGACUCUCUGGACGGCAACUGACGCUGAGGCACGAAAGCGUGGGGAGCAAACAGG